rnacentral:rRNA from 1 species
UACGGGGGGGGCAAGCGUUGUUCGGAAUUACUGGGCGUAAAGGGCUCGUAGGCGGCCAACUAAGUCAGACGUGAAAUCCCUCGGCUUAACCGGGGAACUGCGUCUGAUACUGGAUGGCUUGAAUCCGGGAGAGGGAUGCGGAAUUCCAGGUGUAGCGGUGAAAUGCGUAGAUAUCUGGAGGAAUACCGGUGGCGAAGGCGGCGCUCUGGACUGCAACUGACACUGAGGAACGAAAGCCAGGGGAGCAAACGGG